GAUUGGCCUGACUUGUUGCCAUAUCUCCUGAAGUUAAUUAAUGACCAGACAAAUAGGGAUGGAGUUCAUGGAGCUUUGAGGUGCUUGGCUCUUCUCUCUGAUGACUUGGAUGAUAAAGUGAUGCCCACAUUAGUACCUGUUUUGUUCCCAUGCUUGCUUACUAUUGUUUCAUCCACUCAGGUGUAUGACAAAUAUUUACGUGCAAAAGCUCUUUCAAUUAUUUAUUCUUGUAUCUCCAUGCUGGGUGCAAUGAGUGGUGUUUAUAGGGUAUUUUCUUCAUUAUG